rnacentral:rRNA from 1 species
GGAAAAGAAACUAACAAGGAUUCCCCUAGUAACGGCGAGUGAAGCGGGAAGAGCUCAAAUUUGUAAUCUGGCACUUUCAGUGUCCGAGUUGUAAUCUCGAGAAGUGUUUUCCGCGCCGGACCGCAUACAAGUCUGUUGGAAUACAGCGUCAUAGUGGUGAGAGCCCCGUAACUGAUGCGGAUGCCCGGUGCUUUGUGAUACACUUUCGAAGAGUCGAGUUGUUUGGGAAUGCAGCUCAAAUUGGGUGGUAAAUUCCAUCUAAAGCUAAAUAUUGGCGAGAGACCGAUAGCGAACAAGUACCGUGAGGGAAAGAUGAAAAGCACUUUGGAAAGAGAGUUAACAGUACGUGAAAUUGUUGGAAGGGAAACGCUUGAAGUCAGACUUGCUAUUCGGAAUUCAGCCGCAAGGUGUACUUUUCGAUUUGCAGGCCAGCAUCAGUUUUUGGGGGUGGAAAAGGGUGGAGAGAAGGUAGCAACCCCGGUUGUGUUAUAGCUCUUCACUGGAUUCAUCUUCGGGGACUGAGGAUCGCAGCGCGCUUUAUUGCAAGGCUCUCGAGCUUUUCGCGCUUAGGAUGCUGGUGGAAUGGCUUUAAACGACCCGUCUU